CAUGAAGAAAAUGGCCUGGUCUUUGAGGACUCAGAGGAACUGGCAGCUCAGCUGCAGAUGCUUUUCUCAAACUUUCCUGAUCCUGCAGGCAAGCUAAACCAGUUCCAGAAGAACCUGCGGGAGUUGCAGCAGCUCUGAUGGGAUGAGAGCUGGGUGCAGACUGUGCUCCCUUUGGUUAUGGACACAUAACUCCUGGGCCAGAGGCUAAAACCCCAGGGCCCCUGCUGUCCUUCCCGCAGCUUCUUCUUGGAGUCUCAGGGCAAACCCUUUCGAGCAGCGCCUCCCAGUGGCCAGAAGCUGAAAUGACGGCAGUGGUGCCACCUAGUGAAUGACCCGGGAAGCUGUGGUUGGCCCUGAUUUCUUCUUUGGAGUCUCCAAAACGCUUCCUGUCUUCUUCUGUUCUUCACGCCCCAUGCCCCUGCUAGCGUAUUACUGUUCUGUGACUUCCUUGUGACCUCUGCAGUACUCCUCAUCCUGCAUUUGGUCUCCAGGUGUCACCUUUCUUCCAUGUUCCUAACACUUUGAUUCCUGUCUUGAAAAAAGCACCUGCUGCACCAUAAGCCCAGGGAUGUGGCAGCUGCAGCGGGCUUGGCUUUGUGAGGAACCGAGUGUGUCCAGGGAUGUGGCAGCUGCAGAGGGCUUGGCUUUGUG
rnacentral:lncRNA from 1 species